CUAUGGCUCAGGAUGAACGCUAGCUACAGGCUUAACACAUGCAAGUCGAGGGGCAUCAGGAUUCUAGCUUGCUGGAAUUGCUGGCGACCGGCGCACGGGUGAGUAACGCGUAUCCAACCUUCCCCCUAGUAGGGCAUAGCCCGUAGAAAUGCGGAUUAAUACCCUAUGUUUUCCAAUGAGGACAUCUGAGCUGGAACAAAGAUUCAUCGCUAGGGGAUGGGGAUGCGUCCGAUUAGCUUGCCGGCGGGGUAACGGCCCACCGGGGCAUCGAUCGGUAGGGGUUCUGAGAGGAAGGUCCCCCACACUGGUACUGAGACACGGACCAGACUCCUACGGGAGGCGGCAGUGAGGAAUAUUGGUCAAUGGGCGUGAGCCUGAACCAGCCAAGUAGCGUGCAGGAUGACGGCCCUACGGGUUGUAAACUGCUUUUAUGCGGGGAUAAAGUGCGGCACGUGUGCCGUUUUGUAGGUACCGCAUGAAUAAGGACCGGCUAAUUCCGUGCCAGCCGCAGC
rnacentral:rRNA from 1 species